GUUCCAGUGCUAGAGAGCAAAAAGGAAAAGACUGUGUGUUUCUCUUCAUUUUGGAGGACCUGCCCUGGACGUUAUCUUCAAUGCUCUGGUGAAACACGAGACUUGGUGUAAAUAAGCAGAUCUUCAUAACGAUAAUGGCAGUCGAGGAGGUGGAUGACGAAACCGACGACGAUGAUAAUGAUGACAGACUAUAAAGAAGUUGGCUGGAGGUCUGCUGCCAAGGGUGGACCACAGGAGCUGAACCAAUAGAAGAACAGCGUACGUGUGCGAGAGCGACGUGUCGCUUGGUUGAGCUGUGCGUCUAUGUGAAACAUCACUGGUGAAUUUCACAAUGUAUGCACGUUACCCGUGAACUACUUUGCUUGGUGAAGAGCUUUAUUGCAUAUAGAAAUCUAUGGUAUGUUUACCACUACUACGUCUUUGAAUGAUCUUUUUUUUUGUUGUUGUUGUGUUGUGUGAUGUCAUUAUGGAGUAAUACUAUAUACAUAAAUACGUCUCACUGUAUUUCUGAAAAGUCAUGACCACGUUCCUGAAGCCUAGACAAUGAAACAGAAUUAUUUCCGAGAAACAAGUACUUAUUUAUGACAAGUCAAGUGAAUACAGAACAUGAUGUAUAUGUGUAUCAUCACUGUAUAUGUGUAUUAUUCCUGCAUACAUAUUGUUUUUCCAUAUUUUACUUGGUUGUGUGACUGGGGCCAUGCCAGGCUGGUUGGUCUGAUUGGUGGAAGUGUGCACUUUAAAUCAGGAAGGAACCAUCACGUUCUUGAUGCGUAACCUUUCACUAAAUCUUCAUACACUCUACGAAACUCUCACAGUACAGAAGGGGAAUAAAUCCCUUCCUGUUUUAAAGUGCAUGCUUGGAAUGUAGUCUGUUGUUUUGAAUGCCAGUCUGGAUGGAGUCACACAGAAACACCCCACAUUCUUUCCAUUGUUUUUUUUUUUUUUUAGUUUCCUUUAAUCUGACCCCUUCAUUUAGAUUUGAACAGAACGGAUGUGGAGGGUUACUGAAUAAACCGCAAUGUUCCUUGAAA